rnacentral:rRNA from 1 species
CCUCUCGGGGGUAAGCGGGCAGAACUUGCAAGUAUUGAUAAGAGAUUCAGACUUGGAUUUAGUAAUUGAGUACUUUUGUUAAGUUGUUUAUUCGUAAACUGACUGAUGUAUGUACUUUAUAUUAUUAAAAAUGUGUCGCAUUUCUCUUUAUCAUUCGGAUUGCAUGCAACUGAUUUUGAUAAUUUAGGUACUUGAAAUCUGUAAGUUAUUCAUUUAUGAAUGAUUUAAGUUUAAGUUUUCCAAUUAUUAAUGCGGUUGUAAUAAAUAGCGAAUAUGCGUUUGACGCGGUCAAUUAUUUUUACGAGUCGUGUAUAUGUAUUAUACGGAUGAGUAAUCAUAGUAUAUAAUAUGUACUGGUUGUCAGUGANAGUAAUUUGGCUAUAUUCAGUAUUGCAAUCUAAAGCAUGCGUGGUCUGCCUGU